AACGAACGCUGGCGGCGUGCCUAACACAUGCAAGUCGUACGAGAAACACGUCCUUCGGGCGUGGAGUAAAGUGGCGCACGGGUGAGUAACACGUGGGUAACCUGCCCUUGGAUUCGGGAUAACUGGCCGAAAGGCCCGCUAAUACCGGAUAAGACCACAUAGGCCUUGGCCUAAGUGGUCAAAGUCGGCCUCUCAUAGAAGCCGGCGUCUGAGGAUGGGCCCGCGGACCAUUAGCUAGUUGGUGAGGUAACGGCUCACCAAGGCUGAGAUGGAUAGCUGGUCUGAGAGGAUGAUCAGCCACACUGGAACUGAGAUACGGUCCAGACUCCUACGGGAGGCAG
rnacentral:rRNA from 1 species